rnacentral:rRNA from 1 species
AUUGAACGCUGGCGGCAUGCUUUACACAUGCAAGUCGAACGGUAACAGGUUAAGCUGACGAGUGGCGAACGGGUGAGUAAUGCAUCGGAACGUGCCCGGUCGUGGGGGAUAACGCAGCGAAAGCUGCGCUAAUACCGCAUACGAUCUGAGGAUGAAAGCGGGGGACCGUAAGGCCUCGCGCGAUCGGAGCGGCCGAUGUCAGAUUAGGUAGUUGGUGGGGUAAAGGCUCACCAAGCCAACGAUCUGUAGCUGGUCUGAGAGGACGACCAGCCACACUGGGACUGAGACACGGCCCAGACUCCUACGGGAGGCAGCAGUGGGGAAUUUUGGACAAUGGGCGAAAGCCUGAUCCAGCAAUGCCGCGUACAGGAAGAAGGCCUUCGGGUUGUAAACUGCUUUUGUACGGAGCGAAAAGGUCUCCUCUAAUACAGGGGGCUCAUGACGGUACCGUAAGAAUAAGCACCGGCUAACUACAUGCCAGCCGCCGCGGUAA